UACGGAGGGUGCGAGCGUUGUCCGGAAUCAUUGGGCGUAAAGAGCUCGUAGGCGGUUUGUCGCGUCUGCUGUGAAAACUCGGGGCUUAACCCCCGGGCCUGCAGUGGGUACGGGCAGACUAGAGUGCGGUAGGGGAGACUGGAAUUCCUGGUGUAGCGGUGAAAUGCGCAGAUAUCAGGAGGAACACCGGUGGCGAAGGCGGGUCUCUGGGCCGUAACUGACGCUGAGGAGCGAAAGCGUGGGGAGCGAACAGG
rnacentral:rRNA from 1 species